rnacentral:rRNA from 1 species
AGACCGAUAGCGAACAAGUACCGUGAGGGAAAGAUGAAAAGCACUUUGGAAAGAGAGUUAAACAGUACGUGAAAUUGCUGAAAGGGAAACGCUUGAAGUCAGUCGCGUCGGCCAGGACUCAGCCUUGCUUUUUUGCUUGGUGCACUUUCUGGUUGACGGGCCAGCAUCGAUUUUGACCGCUGGAAAAAGGCCAGGGGAAUGUGGCACCUUCGGGUGUGUUAUAGCCCUUAGUCACAUACAGUGGUUGGGAUCGAGGACCGCAGCACGCCUUUAUGGCCGGGGUUCGCCCACGUUCGUGCUUAGGAUGCUGGCGUAAUGGCUUUAAACGACCCGUCUUGAAACACGGACCAAG